rnacentral:tRNA from 1 species
AGCUCAGCUGGAUAGAGCAUCGGCCUUCUAAGCCGAGGGUCGCAGGUUCGAAUCCUGGA